GCGCGUGGGAGGAGCACGGCGGGACCCGAGCCUCGGCGCAGCAAGCAGUUAACUGCUGCGCAGCAGGAACUGGGCCUUUCCUCCGGGGUCCGGGAAGUGUCUCCCAGGGGCGCAGCCCAGAAUCGACCUCCUCGAGGAGGACGCCCACGGGAG
rnacentral:sRNA from 1 species